ACCUGCAUCGAAAGUGAUCUUGGUCUUAUUUGUGGCCUGGUCAUUGAUAAUGCAGGAAAAGCGUUCUUGAGAGCAUUUCCCGUGUUUGGAGGAUUCCUUUUUAUUUCCUACCAAACCCUGAGCUUUUCAGACA